UACGUAGGGACCGAGCGUUGUCCGGAAUCAUUGGGCGUAAAGAGCUCGUAGGCGGUUCGUCGCGUCGGCUGUGAAAUCCCGAGGCUCAACCUCGGGUCUGCAGUCGAUACGGGCGGACUGGAGUUCGGCAGGGGAGACUGGAAUUCCUGGUGUAGCGGUGAAAUGCGCAGAUAUCAGGAGGAACACCGGUGGCGAAGGCGGGUCUCUGGGCCGAUACUGACGCUGAGGAGCGAAAGCGUGGGGAGCGAACAGG
rnacentral:rRNA from 1 species